GCGUUUAUAGUGUUAAUGGUAACACGAGACCUUGCCAAGGUUUAAUUAUCGGUUCGAGUCCGAUUAGACGCU
rnacentral:tRNA from 1 species